GCCCGGGCCCUGCCUGUCGCCCGGCCGGCCUGCGCGGCGUGUGUGCGCGGGGACGGACCGCGGGGCCCGCUGGCUCGUGCUGAAGGGGAGAGGCAACAAAAAAUAAAAGAGGAACAGAUGACUUCAUUCUCGGGAAGGCUCCGUGCUACAUGGACCAGCUUCCUGGGGACUGUGGCGGAGCAGCCCCGCCGUCGUUGGAAGCACUUUAAACCAGAUAAAGACCAGAAAAUUCGCGGCCCUGCCCAAGCCAAGCCUGGGCGCACGUGUGACCUCCCUCCGCAGGGAGGCCGCGCUCAUUGCUCCACCCGCGCCCGGGCCUGGCUUCCAGCGUCCUCCGACCGCCCCAAACCUCCCCACUUAGACUCCCACAUCCUGAGAGGCUCCUGGCUCUUGGACAUUAUUAGCUCAAAUGCAAACAGUUGCUGCUCUGGACUGGGAAGCCAAAGGAAAAGCCAGAGGAAAAAGGCCUCUGGAGCUUGCACUAUAAAAUGGAUUUUUUUU